rnacentral:rRNA from 1 species
AGCGAACGCUGGCGGCAGGCUUAACACAUGCAAGUCGAACGCCAUCUUCGGAUGGAGUGGCAGACGGGUGAGUAACGCGUGGAAACAUACCUUUUGCUUCGGAAUAUUCCCGGGAAACUGGGAGCAAUACCGAAUACGCCCUGAGGGGGAAAGAUUUAUCGGCAAAAGAUUGGUCCGCGUUAGAUUAGGUAGUUGGUAGGGUAAUGGCCUACCAAGCCUACGAUCUAUAGCUGGUCUGAGAGGAUGAUCAGCCACAUUGGGACUGAGACACGGCCCAAACUCCUACGGGAGGCAGCAGUGGGGAAUAUUGGACAAUGGGCGAAAGCCUGAUCCAGCCAUGCCGCGUGAAUGAUGAAGGCCUUAGGGUUGUAAAAUUCUUUCACCGGGGACGAUAAUGACGGUACCCGGAGAAGAAGCCCCGGCUAACUUCGUGCCAGCCGCCGCCGUAA